AGCGAACGCUGGCGGCAGGCUUAACACAUGCAAGUCGAGCGGGCGUAGCAAUACGUCAGCGGCAGACGGGUGAGUAACGCGUGGGAACAUACCUUUUGGUUCGGAACAACACAGGGAAACUUGUGCUAAUACCGGAUAAGCCCUUAGGGGGAAAGAUUUAUCGCCGAAAGAUUGGCCCGCGUCUGAUUAGCUAGUUGGUGAGGUAAUGGCUCACCAAGGCGACGAUCAGUAGCNGGUCUGAGAGGAUGAUCAGCCACAUUGGGACUGAGACACGGCCCAAACUCCUACGGGAGGCAGCAGUGGGGAAUAUUGGACAAUGGGCGCAAGCCUGAUCCAGCCAUGCCGCGUGAGUGAUGAAGGCCCUAGGGUUGUAAAGCUCUUUUGUGCGGGAAGAUAAUGACGGUACCGCAAGAAUAA
rnacentral:rRNA from 1 species